UGUCACUGGACUUUCUUUUCCUCAAGUUCCUCUCCAUUUCUAUCUCUGCAGUUCUUUCAGACAGGAACAAUUUUGAGUCACAGUUUUGACUAUGGGAUGGCAACCUCAUCCCUCACUUGAUGUCAUGUCUUUCUGUUGGAGGUGGGCUCUACAAGUUCCCUCUUGGUAGGAUGGUUUCUCUAGAAAGACUAUCUGAGUUAGUUUUACUAGAAUGCACAUGAGGUUUUAUUUUCUGCAAUGCAGUGAUGUAUCAUGCAUUUCUACCCAUGUGUUUAACAUUGCCAUUCAGCAGUUGGCCUCAAGUAGGUUUCAUUUUAUCAUUUUUCUCUGGAAUCCCAAAUAAAACUAUGUUCAAUUGCUUCAUGAACAAAAACGUGCUGGAAUGUUCACUUGAAUGUGGGUAAGGAAAUCAUGUACUAAAAAAAAAAAAGAAUCUAAGAGUGCCUGAGGAGUAAAUCUGAAAAGCUGAUUCAUUUAAUGACAAUGACACCCUCCUGAAAUCUAUGUGUGAACUCCAUGGACCAGUUCUUUCUUGUUUUAUAUAAAUGGUAAAUGGUCAGCUUCUUUUUAUAUCUAGAGGACAUCUGGACCAAUCAGAAAAAGUCUACAAAACCAAAUCAAUACUCCUCAGUGAUUUCUAAUUUUCAUCUAUGUAGCUAGUGUAAAUGCAAUUGUAUAUUUCCUAUGACUGUUCGCUACAAGUAUAGUCAUUAUCAGCUCAACAAAAUAGUCUGGACUGUUUAAACAAAGCAGACUGUGUAGUUUAGUUAGGGGCAUUUUAUCUGUGUGAGAGUCUCGGGUAAAUUGAAGUAUCCAAGUUUGUUGGCAUGUUUUUGAUUAUGUAACUUCACUGAAUCUCAACUGUCUUUUGCAGAAUAGAUUAAAUAUUAAUUGUGUUCAGAAUUAAAGAGAAAUUAAUGCAGAGUUUGCUGAGGCAGGUCCCCCCCAUCUCUAUAAAAGCAACUCAUUUCCAUCUGGGCUUUUCCCCAAUUAAAAUUUUAUCAAGUGAAAAUUGGGAUAAACAAAAUAAUUUUUCCAAAGUUAAAGCAACCUUUAUGAAUUGAAAGUGUACUUUAUUUGAAUUUAUGUUUAAUUAAAAUGUAGAACCGCUUUUGUAAUUUCAGCACAUUGUCUUUCUUUUCCUUGUAGGAGCCUAAGUUGCCAACGGAUCACAUUGCAUAAAAACCUGUUCUUUUCAUUUAUUUGUAAUUCGAUUGUAACAAUCAUCCACCUCACGGCAGUGGCCAAUAACCAGGCCUUAGUGGCCACAAAUCCUGUAAGUAAAACAUGGUUGUACCUUUGAGGGUUAGUAGGAAGAGACAUGGGCUGGGAGGCGGUUUCUGAUAUGGAAUAUGUGAAUCAUUAGAUAAGUGUAUAUGUAAAUUUGGGGGGUUUACAUACAGGAAACAUAGCUGUAUUGCAGCCUAGGAAGGUAAAUUUCCUUCAAUACUUUCAAAGCUUCAGUUCUUGUCAUUGGCUAUGGACUCCUGAUGCUGGUGGCCCAUAAGACUGUGACUACACAAUGUUCAACCCAAACCAAUCUGUACAUCUGAGUACUU
rnacentral:lncRNA from 1 species